rnacentral:tRNA from 1 species
GUCUGGUUCGUCUAAUGGUAAGACCGGAGCUUCCAAACCUUUUGACGUGGGUUCGAUUCCUACACCAGGCG